rnacentral:tRNA from 1 species
GCCCUGGUGGCGGAAUUGGUAGACGCGCUGGUUUCAGGUGCCAGUGGCCGCAAGGCUGUAGGGGUUCGAGUCCCUUCCAGGGCA